rnacentral:lncRNA from 1 species
CAAAGCCCUCUUUAUUCUAAGGUUACCUGGCAUUGCAUAAGAGCCAAGCGGGCAAAUUAAAUUCCUUCUAUUCAGCCUUGCAGAGAGGUGAAAAAACUCAUCUCCUGGCUGGCAGUAUUUGUUGUUGGCUCUGCCCUUUCCAGUGGCAGGCAGUUGGGCAUCCAAUAGCCAGAUCGGUCAAGAGUACUGUUUUUUUUAUAUUUAUUUAUAUCUGGACUUUAUUUAAUUCCUUCAAGAUUUUCUGAAUUAAUUUUAGGCCCUGUGUUUGUGUAAUUAGACUAAUUUCCACAGCUAUGAUUCCAUUUAUGACCUUGUAUUUCUCUGUCUCCAAAAGAACUUGUAUCUAGGAUGACCAUAGCAUCAGGUCUCAAGGGGUCAACCUGGUUCAAAUGUCUACAGGGGCAUGGCAUCUGCUGAUUGGCUUCUGCCUGAACUGCUGAACCAAUCAGUAAAAGGAACAAUGAGUUUACAUAAUUGGCUUAAGGACUGCAGUCAGCUCCUCAUCGUGCAGGAUGAGAGACUGGUGAAGAAUGUGAUGAAAUGGCUUAGGAAGCUAACCACAAUAUCUACACCCUAAUUAGUGAAGCUCCUAUGAUUGAGCUCAUCAGCCAUCGUUAGUGUUAGUAUAUUUUACAUGUGGCCCAAGACAACUCUUCUUCUUCCUAUGUCACCCAGGGAAGCCAGAAGAUUGGACACCCCUGAAUUAUUCUUGAAGAUAUUUACCCUGUCUAAUUCACUCUUAUAAGUGGCCUUCCUCCUCUACUAUUCCUAGACCAACGAUUUGCCUUCAAGGCACUUUCAAUCAGAUUGUAUCCUGAAGGCAAGUCUACUGCAGAAUUAAGAAUGCAUGAUUUAUAUAUACUUAAGUUAAAGUAUACAUAAAUAUAUAUACUUAGAUGAAAUAUUUUAUAUUUUCUUUAUUUUCUCAAACUUCACUUUUGCUUAGAUGUCUUCAUUCUUGCAUAACCUACAGGGCAUGACAAUGUGUUGAAAGAUGCCCAAUAAAAUCUUCUUUCAAUUAAUAAUUUUCUGUGUUUCAAAUCUAGACAUAUUCAGAGCUUUUAGAAGUUCAUUAGUUCUGACUCAAUGCUCUGGGAAGAUAAAUUCUGGACAUAAAAUAAGUCUAGAUCACAGUUGCAUGCUUUAUGCCUUUUGAUAUUGUCUCUGAUGUUCCUUCUAAAUAUCCUUUUUACCUUGUUAAUUUUUGCUAUUACCCAGAGCCACUGUUUAAUUAUGAACUAACUUUCUUUUAA